rnacentral:tRNA from 1 species
AGUUAAUGAACUUGAAUAAGUAUAUGCCUUGAAAGCAUAAAAUAGAGGUGUAACCCUCUAUUAACUU